GAAGGUUGUACUUGCUAUCGAAUUGUUACAUUCGUCGAUCUUUGUCUCUUCUGCUUUGAACCUCUUCACGUAAUUGUGGAGCGACUCCUUUGGGUUUUUCUUCACAAUGAACAAGUGGUCGGAUUUUUUCUUGAUCGAGCGGUGUGAUGAGUAUUCUUUGGUAAAAACCAAGGAAAGAUCAUCAAACCUCUGAAUGGAUCAUGGUGGCAAAGUGUGAAACCA
rnacentral:lncRNA from 1 species